rnacentral:rRNA from 1 species
AGAGUUUGAUCCUGGCUCAGAAUCAACGCUGGCGGCGUGCCUAACACAUGCAAGUCGAACGCGAAAGUUCCGCAAGGAAUUAGUAGAGUGGCAAACGGGUGAGUAACACGUGGGUGACCUGCCUUCGAGUGGGGGAUAACGUCCCGAAAGGGACGCUAAUACCGCAUGACAUCCUGCCUUUGAACAGGUGGAGAUCAAAGCUGGGGAUCGCAAGACCCGGCGCUUGAUGAGGGGCCCGCGUCCGAUUAGCUAGUUGGUGAGGUAAUGGCCCACCAAGGCGACGAUCGGUAGCUGGUCUGAGAGGAUGAUCAGCCACAUUGGGACUGAGACACGGCCCAAACUCCUACGGGAGGCAGCAGUGGGGAAUAUUGGACAAUGGGCGCAAGCCUGAUCCAGCCAUGCCGCGUGAGUGAUGAAGGCCUUAGGGUUGUAAAGCUCUUUCGCCCACGACGAUAAUGACGGUAGUGGGAGAAGAAGCCCCGGCUAACUUCGUGCCAGCAGCCGCGGUAAUACGAAGGGGGCUAGCGUUGUUCGGAAUUACUGGGCGUAAAGCGCGUGUAGGCGGGCUUUUAAGUCAGGGGUGAAAUGCCAAGGCUCAACCUUGGAACUGCCUUUGAUACUGGAAGUCUUGAGUCCGGGAGAGGUGAGUGGAACUGCGAGUGUAGAGGUGAAAUUCGUAGAUAUUCGCAAGAACACCAGUGGCGAAGGCGGCUCACUGGCCCGGAACUGACGCUGAGACGCGAAAGCGUGGGGAGCAAACAGGAUUAGAUACCCUGGUAGUCCACGCUGUAAACGAUGGAUGCUAGCCGUUGGGGAGCUUGCUCUUCAGUGGCGCAGCUAACGCAUUAAGCAUCCCGCCUGGGGAGUACGGUCGCAAGAUUAAAACUCAAAGGAAUUGACGGGGGCCCG